GACGAACGCUGGCGGCGUGCUUAACACAUGCAAGUCGAACGGAAAGGCCUCUUUCGGGGGGUACUCGAGUGGCGAACGGGUGAGUAACACGUGAGUAACCUGCCCUUGACUUUGGGAUAACUUCAGUAAACUGGGGCUAAUACCGGAUAGGAGCUCCUGCUGCAUGGUGGGGGUUGGAAAGUUUCGGCGGUUGGGGAUGGACUCGCGGCUUAUCAGCUUGUUGGUGGGGUAGUGGCUUACCAAGGCUUUGACGGGUAGCCGGCCUGAGAGGGUGACCGGCCACAUUGGGACUGAGAGACGGCCCAGACUCCUACGGGAGGCAGCAGUGGGGAAUAUUGCACAAUGGGUGGAAGCCUGAUGCAGCAACGCCGUGUGCGGGAGGACGGCCUUCGGGUUGUAAACCGCUUUCGCUCAUGACGAAGCUUUGUGUGACGGUAGUGGGUAAAGAAGCACCGGCUAACUACGUG
rnacentral:rRNA from 1 species